rnacentral:rRNA from 1 species
UACGGGGGGUGCGAGCGUUGUCCGGAAUCACUGGGCGUAAAGGGCGCGUAGGUGGUCUGAUAAGGGUGUGGUGAAAGCCCGGGGCUCAACCCCGGGUCGGCCGUGCCGACUGUCAGACUAGAGUACUGUAGGGGCAGGCGGAAUUCCGGGUGUAGCGGUGGAAUGCGUAGAGAUCCGGAGGAAGACCGGUGGCGAAAGCGGCCACCUGGACUGUACCUGACGCUCAAACGCGAAAGCUAGGGGAGCGAACGGG